rnacentral:rRNA from 1 species
UACGUAGGGGGCAAGCGUUGUCCGGAAUUAUUGGGCGUAAAGAGCGUGUAGGCGGUCCGGUAAGUCGGCUGUGAAAUCCCGGGGCUUAACCCCGGAACUGCAUUCGAUACUGCCAGGCUAGAGUACUGGAGAGGAGAUUGGAAUUUACGGUGUAGCAGUGAAAUGCGUAGAUAUCGUAAGGAAGACCAGUGGCGAAGGCGGAUCUCUGGACAGUUACUGACACUGAGGCACGAAGGCCAGGGGAGCAAACGGG